rfam:Sphaerobolus stellatus SS14 unplaced genomic scaffold SPHSTscaffold_122, whole genome shotgun sequence.
GCUCUUGUGGCGCAAUGGUAGCGCGUCAGACUUCUACUUUGAACAAAGAUGUUUGAAGGAAGCUUAAUCUGAAGGUUCUGGGUUCGAGUCCCCGCAGGAGCU